rnacentral:tRNA from 1 species
UCCGAAGUAGCUCAGCUGGUGGCAGCGCGUGACUGUUAAUCAUGAGGUCGUCGGUUCAAGUCCGACCUUCGGAGCCA